UACCAGCACCCCGAGUGGUCGGGACGAUUAUUGGGCCUAAAGCAUCCGUAGCCGGCCUUACAAGUCCUCCGUUAAAUCCAGCUGCUUAACAGAUGGGCUGCGGAGGAUACUAUAAGACUAGGAGGCAGGAGAGGCAAGCGGUACUCAGUGGGUAGGGGUAAAAUGCGUAGAUAUCGGAAGGAACAUCAGUGGCGAAAGCGACUUCCUGGACCAAUACUGACGCUCAUGUGCGAAAGCGUGGGGAGCAAACAGG
rnacentral:rRNA from 1 species